rnacentral:rRNA from 1 species
GAUGAACGCUAGCUACAGGCUUAACACAUGCAAGUCGAGGGGCAGCAUGAACAUAGCUUGCUAUGUUUGAUGGCGACCGGCGCACGGGUGCGUAACACGUAUCCAAUCUACCCAUGGCUCGGGGAUAGCCUUUCGAAAGAAAGAUUAAUACCCGAUGGUCUCGGUUUAAGGCAUCUUAGACUGAGUAAAGAUUUAUCGGCGAUGGAUGAGGAUGCGUCUGAUUAGGUAGAUGGCGGGGUAACGGCCCUCCAUGCCUACGAUCAGUAGGGGUUCUGAGAGGAAGGUCCCCCACAUUGGAACUGAGACACGGUCCAAACUCCUACGGGAGGCAGCAGUGAGGAAUAUUGGUCAAUGGACGAGAGUCUGAACCAGCCAAGUAGCGUGAAGGAUGACUGCCCUAUGGGUUGUAAACUUCUUUUGUUUGGGAAUAAAGUUCGGGACGUGUCCCGUUUUGUACGUACCAUUCGAAUAAGCAUCGGCUAAUUCCGUGCCAGCCGCCGCGGUAAAAC